GGCGAACGGGUGAGUAACACGUAGAUAACCUGCCCUUAAGACGAGGAUAACCGUUGGAAACGAUGGCUAAAACUGGAUAGGAAUAUUGAAGGCAUCUUUAAUAUUUUAAAAGACCUAGUAAUAGGUAUACUUAAGGAGGGGUCUGCGGCGCAUUAGUUAGUUGGUGAGGUGAUGGCUUACCAAGACGAUGAUGCGUAGCCGGACUGAGAGGUUGAACGGCCACAUUGGGACUGAGAAACGGCCCAAACUCC
rnacentral:rRNA from 1 species